CUUUGUAAUUAAUACACCAUGUGGCAGAAGAUAUUUUGGAAUAUCUUUAAAAUAGCUGUGUUCCAGGAGCCAGUGAGCAGCCCUGCUGAGAAGAGUUGGCAACAUUAUUGCAUUGUUUGAAACCAUUUGUGCACCCUUGAACUUUAGUCAAUACUUGGGGUUGUCAUUCCUCUUUAGGGUUAUGAACAUUUGAUACCAUGAGUCAUACAAGAUGCUUGUUCCCAGCACCAACAUAACAGGCCAAGGCCCAUCAUGACUUCCAGGAAUGGGUAGUGGGAGGGCUAAAGGGGGAGAGCAGAAUAAUUUUAGACCUUGGCAUAAUUGUAGGGCAAGAGUGAAGAGUUAAAUGACCAACAUAAGGUUUCGAUUUUCUGUUUCUGUUUUUUUCUUUCAUUUGUGAGGGGGCUUCUUCCCUAUUAUUAAAUAUAAUGAAGCAUAAUCCUCAAAUAAAUACCUUUCUGUUAAUAUAGGAGGCAUUUGGUGACCUCGGGAAAUGAAAGUACAUCUUGAUAAAUCAUUCAAGAGUCAAAUGAUAGGCUUCACAAUGGAUACCUCAGACUUUUUUUCUUUGUAAUUAUUCUUUAAAAUGUAGGAAAUUUAUCAAUCACAAAUCACUCAUCAAUCACAAAUCAAGCCCCUAAUUUUUAUUUUCAAGCAUGAAUCAUGUUUGUCAAAGCUCAUUGAUUGUUAACUAAUAGAGACUUCAGCUUUCCCAACGAGGAAAUCCACAUGCCAUAGAUAAAGGGAAGGAGGAGAACAGAACAGAGGUAACCAUGUUUUCUUUUCAGGUGACCUGAAAAGAAGGGGUUCAGUGAUAGAAACUGCGGAGAUUUCGUCUUGGCUUUCAAUGGGUCUCACUAUUUCACUUCACAUCAUAGAUCACACAUAAGGAAAAUGUGUGCUUGGCUGCAGCCGUGGUGGUGAGGAAGAACAGACUAUAAGACAUUGCAGCUGUCAUCUCACUUGACUUAAAUUGGAUCACAAACAAUCUAACACAAGCUCCUUGUUGGAUGAAGAAAAGCAUUUCCACGGGGGCAUUAGUCCAUGGAGCUGAUGCUGUGGGUCAACAGAAGAUUCAACCAAGUUUGUUUGCAAGUAAAGAUUCCAAGGGCCUCCAAGAGUAAGAGAAUAUUCAUGCAAUUUUAAUAUGCCAAAGAGAAGAAGUAAAAUAAUUAGUCGAAAGGAAAAAAGUUGACCUUAAUAUUGAAAAAGAAAUCGAGGAGAACCUGUCACUUAUGGAUGUGAGGACCAUCUGGAUGUGACAUCUGUCAGCCCAUUGAUGGCCAGGAUUGAUUCGGCUGACCUGGUUGGCUAGGCGGGUGUCCCCUUCCUCCCUCACCACUCCAUGUGCAUCCCUCCUGAAGCUGCGUGCUCGGUCGAAGAGGAUGACCUUCUCCUAUAGAGGAGGACCGUUCUUCAGUCAAGGGUAUACGAGUAGCUGUGCUCCCCUGCUAGAACCUCCAAACAAGCUCUCAAGAACCUGUCACUUAGACUGACAUUUUCAUAAGAAGCAAAUAAUAGGAUGGAACUUUCUAGGUUGCAGCUAUUAGGCUAUCGCCUCUGCUGUCCUCCCUGCUCCCAGUGGGAUUGACUUAAUUACCAUGAAGAGGGAAUCAUGGCUUGCGCAUACCAUACUGAAGUCACAGAUUUUGAUGUGCUGAAUGACAGAAACAUGUUCUAUUAAAGCCUGUAUUAAAACUUG